rnacentral:lncRNA from 1 species
AUGGCCCCAACAGCCAGAGCUGGACUGAUCCGAAGCCAGGUGCAGGAGCCUCAUCCAGGUCUCACAUGUGGGUGUGGGGGCCCAAGGACUUGGGCCAUCUUCCACUGCUUUCCCAGGCCACAGCAGAGAGCUGGUUCAGAAGUGGAGCUGCUGGGACACGAACUGGUGCCCACAUUGGGUGCCAGCAUCGCAGAUGGCAGCUUUACCCACCAGGCCACAAGCCAGCCCCCAGACUUUGAUUUAAAAUAUGUAUAUAUACAUAUAUAUAUAUAUGUAUGUAUGUAUUAUUUGAAAGGCAAGAGAGACCUCCCAUAUGCUGGUUUACUCCCAAUAUGCUUCCAACAGCGAAAGCCAGGAGCCAGGAGCUCCAUCUGUGUCUCCCAGGUCAGUGACAGGGGCCCAAGCACUUGGACCAUCUUUCACUGUUUUUGGAAGCUGAGCAGCCAGAACUUGGACUGGCAUCCAGCAUGGGCUAGAGGCCUCACUCUGGCCUCCAGACUUGGAUCUUUAAAAGGUCAUUCUGACUGCACUGCGAUCAGGAUGGACCCAGACAAACAAGAGGCGAUGGCAAAAUCCAAGAGCGAGCGAGCGAGUGAGCUGACAGUGCUGGAAAUUGGUGACUUCGUAGUCGGCACUGAAGAGCUGUCAGUGCGCGCCGAGACGCAAAGCGUCACCCCAGGGUUUGCUGCAGGAGAGGGGUUCUCAGAGGUGGGAAGACUGGCAGGGGUGCAGAUAGGGUUGGAGGUCAGGGACUGGGUUUUUUGGUUUUGUUUUGUUUUGAAUCUGAGAGAGCUCCCAUCCUCUCACUCACUUCCUGGAUACUGGCAACAGCCAGGACUGGGCCACGCCAAAGCUGGGAGCCCGGAGCCAGGAAAUCAAUCCAGGUCUCCUCUCUGGGCGGCAGGGACCCAACUACUUAAGCCAUCACCUGCUGCCUCCUCGGGUGACCAUCAGCGGGAAGCUCAAAUGGGGCACACAGCUGGGACCUGCGUCCAGGAACUGCCAUACGGAAUGCAGGGCUCACAAUUGGCAUCCAAUGGCCAGGCCAAACUCCCGGGCCAGGAAGUGGGAUCUGGACGCGUGGAGUUGAUUAAGCAUCAAGUGGAGCAGGCAGCUGGUGUGGAAACAAUGGCUUGGAACUAUGAAGGCACCGCAGAAGCUUAUGGGAAAAACAAAAUAAAAAGGUAA